UACAGAGGUGCCAAGCGUUAGGCGGAAUCACUGGGCUUAAAGCGCGUGUAGGCGGGUCGUUAAGUGUCCGAGUGAAAUCCCACGGCUCAACCGUGGAACUGCCGGGCAUACUGGCGAUCUUGAGGCAUUCAGGGGCGAGCGGAACAAAUGGUGGAGCGGUGAAAUGCGUAGAUAUCAUUUGGAACGCCAAUGGUGAAAACAGGUAGCUGGGGGUGUGCUGACACUGAGACACGAAAGCCAGGGGAGCAAACGGG
rnacentral:rRNA from 1 species